AUGACGCUGGCGGCGUGCUUAAUACAUGCAAGUCGAACGAGUUCUGAUUAUUGAAAGGUGCUUGCAUCUUGAUUUAAUUUUGAACGAGUGGCGGACGGGUGAGUAACACGUGGGUAACCUGCCCUUAAGUGGGGGAUAACAUUUGGAAACAGAUGCUAAUACCGCAUAAAUCCAAGAACCGCAUGGUUCUUGGCUGAAAGAUGGCGUAAGCUAUCGCUUUUGGAUGGACCCGCGGCGUAUUAGCUAGUUGGUGAGGUAACGGCUCACCAAGGCAAUGAUACGUAGCCGAACUGAGAGGUUGAUCGGCCACAUUGGGACUGAGACACGGCCCAAACUCCUACGGGAGGCAGCAGUAGGGAAUCUUCCACAAUGGACGCAAGUCUGAUGGAGCAACGCCGCGUGAGUGAAGAAGGCUUUCGGGUCGUAAAACUCUGUUGUUGGAGAAGAAUGGUCGGCAGAGUAACUGUUGUCGGCGUGACGGUAUCCAACCAGAAAGCCACGGCUAACUACGUGCCAGCAGCCGCGGUAAUACGUAGGUGGCAAGCGUUAUCCGGAUUUAUUGGGCGUAAAGCGAGCGCAGGCGGUUUUUUAAGUCUGAUGUGAAAGCCCUCGGCUUAACCGAGGAAGUGCAUCGGAAACUGGGAAACUUGAGUGCAGAAGAGGACAGUGGAACUCCAUGUGUAGCGGUGAAAUGCGUAGAUAUAUGGAAGAACACCAGUGGCGAAGGCGGCUGUCUGGUCUGUAACUGACGCUGAGGCUCGAAAGCAUGGGUAGCGAACAGGAUUAGAUACCCUGGUAGUCCAUGCCGUAAACGAUGAAUGCUAGGUGUUGGAGGGUUUCCGCCCUUCAGUGCCGCAGCUAACGCAUUAAGCAUUCCGCCUGGGGAGUACGACCGCAAGGUUGAAACUCAAAGGAAUUGACGGGGGCCCGCACAAGCGGUGGAGCAUGUGGUUUAAUUCGAAGCAACGCGAAGAACCUUACCAGGUCUUGACAUCUUUUGAUCACCUGAGAGAUCAGGUUUCCCCUUCGGGGGCAAAAUGACAGGUGGUGCAUGGUUGUCGUCAGCUCGUGUCGUGAGAUGUUGGGUUAAGUCCCGCAACGAGCGCAACCCUUAUGACUAGUUGCCAGCAUUUAGUUGGGCACUCUAGUAAGACUGCCGGUGACAAACCGGAGGAAGGUGGGGAUGACGUCAAAUCAUCAUGCCCCUUAUGACCUGGGCUACACACGUGCUACAAUGGAUGGUACAACGAGUUGCGAGACCGCGAGGUCAAGCUAAUCUCUUAAAGCCAUUCUCAGUUCGGACUGUAGGCUGCAACUCGCCUACACGAAGUCGGAAUCGCUAGUAAUCGCGGAUCAGCACGCCGCGGUGAAUACGUUCCCGGGCCUUGUACACACCGCCCGUCACACCAUGAGAGUUUGUAACACCCGAAGCCGGUGGCGUAACCCUUUUAGGGAGCGAGCCGUCUAAGGUGGGACAAAUGAUUAGGGUG
rnacentral:rRNA from 1 species